ACCAGAAAGUGCUUCAUUCUCCACUGAUGUGCAGCCAUCUUUGAAGUGAUUGUACCACUCCUUUAUCUGUGUCGUGCCCAUUGUUUCAUCCCUGAAGACCAGUUGAAUCUUGCAAAUUGUUUCCACUUGGGAAUCGGCAAGCUUUACACAAAAUGUAAUGCAGUAGUGUUGUCCACAUUUUUCUGUCAUUUUGUCAAAAAUGAAUGUGAGACAGCACUCACACUUCUUCACUCACUGGCUGUCUACUGGCAACUGACAGCUUAUUCCGGCAGAAAAAAAUUCAAGCAUGAGAUUUAUGAUCGCCUACAUAAGCAGACUAAACCAUGCUUUCCUAGAUUCAUUUGUUUAUUUACAAAAAACUAUGGUUGGAUACUUUUUGAACACACCUCAUAGAUCCUGUGUUCCUCAGCUUCCAAGCUGAUUUGAUAGUCUUUCCAAGGGCCUAACAUUGACAUCUCAGGAGACCUGUUAAGCAGCAUGGACAGUCACAUUCUUAACAAACCAUGAAUUCUGGAGAUGUGCAAGAAAAUAACUCUUUAAAGUUCCAACUGCCUUCAGGAGCCCUCCAUUAUGUUAUCAAAACAAAGAGCUAGUUGAGUUAGGAUUGUUUGCCUUCUCUUACCCCAGACACCAGAUCAGUGUCCCUGAAGACAAGGCUGUCACAGCUUCUCCCAUUUGCCUUUUUCUCCUCUUUCUCCUCUGUAAUCUCCUCUGGGAAGCUCUCUCAUUGCUUCUCUGCAGCAGACAGUAGGAAGAAAAUGAAGGUGGGAAGAAAAUCCUUAAAACAGCAAUUCAGUGAAAUUCAGUUUAUGAAGUAAAUUGGCAAGGAUGUGUGGGUGAAGAUCAUCUUCAAGAACCCAAGAAUGAAGUUUUUCUUUUCAGGCAAUCAUCCUUGUAAAGGAUUUUGCAUCGAGAAGAGGGACAAUUGCAAUUGCCUCAUUUUCCUUUGGACAGGAGAUCACCAGUAAGUGGAAGAUGAUAAGGCAGAAGUUCUUCAACCUUCGUAGGGCAUGCAGUGCCCAGCUGGCUGUAAUGCUAUACUAUCCUGCACACAGUGUCCAUAGGAACAGGCUGGUCGCCCUUCUUGGAGGAUAAGGAAUGAAGAAGGUGUGGUAAUAGAGGUUCAGGAAGAAGAGCCUCACCUUAGCGAAGGUUUUUCCUUGAUCCCUCCUUGUUAUCCAACAUAUUCGCUUAUCCAACAUUCUGCCGGCCCGUUUAUGUUGGAAUAACUUGAAGAAGAGCAGGUUGCUGUUGACAUGUCAGGACCCAGUGGAAGUCAGCAGAAAAAAAAGAAGGUAAAAUACAGAUUUCACUCUCUUUUAAAACAAUGUAAUUUUUUUUAUUAAAUUUACUAAACAUAAAUUGAAUGGGAUUUUUUCCACAUAAAUAUUCU